UACGUAGGGUCCGAGCGUUGUCCGGAAUUAUUGGGCGUAAAGGGCGCGUAGGCGGCCAGCACAAGUCAGUUGUGAAAUCUCCGAGCUUAACUCGGAAAGGUCAACUGAUACUGUGCGGCUAGAGUGCGGAAGGGGCAACUGGAAUUCUUGGUGUAGCGGUGAAAUGCGUAGAUAUCGGGAGGAACAUCAGUGGCGAAGGCGGCCUUCUGGUCCAGUACUGACACUCAAGUGCGAAAGCGUGGGGAGCAAACAGG
rnacentral:rRNA from 1 species